UACGUAGGGGGCGAGCGUUGUCCGGAAUUAUUGGGCGUAAAGGGCGUGUAGGCGGCCGAUCAAGUCAGGUGUGAAAUUCCAGGGCUCAACCCUGGACGUGCACUUGAAACUGGUUGGCUUGAGUGCAGAAGAGGAAAGUGGAAUUCCCAGUGUAGCGGUGAAAUGCGUAGAUAUUGGGAGGAACACCAGUGGCGAAGGCGACUUUCUGGACUGUAACUGACGCUGAGGCGCGAAAGCGUGGGGAGCAAACAGG
rnacentral:rRNA from 1 species